AAAGUUGGAGCUUUCAAUAUGGCGAAUAACCUUGAGCAAUAUAAUAUGAUCGUUAAUGAAAACAAAUAAAACGAGCUGCAAAUGGGCCAUUAAUUUUGAUGAACGACGUUUACCACUACCGAAUAGUUAUUGCUCUGUUCAUUAUUUUUUUAGUUGGGGCAUUGUGCUGCUUAUUUGCAAGAGGCAGUCUGAAUAAACGGAAUGGACAUGUUCAAAGUAUGCUAUCGACUGCUAUGAAAAAUGAACAAAUGACAAAAACUAGAUUCAACCAACAGCUUGAAAUGUUUUACAUCGCCCGAAAAUGGAGGCAAAGCCAAUCGGAGCCAAUCGUAAACUCGGGGCAAAACGUAAACUCUGUGACGUCAUGCGUCUUAGAUUUAGCGUGACGGUUUUUUCAUGUAAUGUGAACUAAUCAAAUAAAUUUUACUAGACGCACACGUUAGUUUAAUCACUAUGUGUAAUUAAAUAUAUUUUACUUCCCGCGCUCAUUAA